ensembl:snRNA U6 U6 spliceosomal RNA
AUGCUCGCUUCUGCAGCACAUACACUAAAAAACUAGAACAAUACAGAGAAGAUUAGCAUGGCCCCAUGACACGCAAAUUUGUGAAGCAUUACAUAUUUUU